UACACUCCUGCGGGAGGCAGCAGUGGGGAAUUUUGGACAAUGGGCGAAAGCCUGAUCCAGCAAUGCCGCGUGAGUGAAGAAGGCCUUCGGGUUGUAAAGCUCUUUUGUCAGGGAAGAAACGGUGAGAGCUAAUAUCUUUUGCUAAUGACGGUACCUGAAGAAUAAGCACCGGCUAACUACGUGCCAGCAGCCGCGGUAAUACGUAGGGUGCAAGCGUUAAUCGGAAUUACUGGGCGUAAAGCGUGCGCAGGCGGUUUUGUAAGUCUGAUGUGAAAUCCCCGGGCUCAACCUGGGAAUUGCAUUGGAGACUGCAAGGCUAGAAUCUGGCAGAGGGGGGUAGAAUUCCACGUGUAGCAGUGAAAUGCGUAGAUAUGUGGAGGAACACCGAUGGCGAAGGCAGCCCCCUGGGUCAAGAUUGACGCUCAUGCACGAAAGCGUGGGGAGCAAACAGGAUUAGAAACCCGGGUAUCCCA
rnacentral:rRNA from 1 species